rnacentral:rRNA from 1 species
GCGGCAGGCCUAACACAUGCAAGUCGAGGGGUAACAGGAAGAAGCUUGCUUCUUCGCUGACGACCGGCGCACGGGUGCGUAACACGUAUGCAACCUACCUCUUACUGAGGGAUAGCCCAGAGAAAUUUGGAUUAAUACCUCAUAACACCACAAAAUCGCAUGAUUUCAUGGUUAAAGGUUACGGUAAGAGAUGGGCAUGCGGACUAUUAGUUAGUUGGUGAGGUAAUGGCUCACCAAGACUACGAUGGUUAGGGGGUCUGAGAGGAUUAUCCCCCACACUGGUACUGAGACACGGACCAGACUCCUACGGGAGGCAGCAGUGAGGAAUAUUGCGCAAUGGACGAAAGUCUGACGCAGCCAUGCCGCGUGAAGGAUGACGGCGCUACGCGUUGUAAACUUCUUUUAUAUACCAAGAAACCUUCGGACGUGUCCGAAGCUGACGGUAGUAUAUGAAUAAGCACCGGCUAACUCCGUGCCAGCAGCCGCGGUAAUACGGAGGGUGCAAGCGUUAUCCGGAUUUAUUGGGUUUAAAGGGUCCGUAGGCGGAUCAUUAAGUCAGUGGUGAAAGCCGACAGCUCAACUGUCGAACUGCCAUUGAUACUGGUGAUCUUGAGUACGGUUGAAGUAGGCGGAAUAUGACAUGUAGCGGUGAAAUGCUUAGAUAUGUCAUAGAACACCGAUUGCGAAGGCAGCCUACUAAGCCGUUACUGACGCUGAGGGACGAAAGUGUGGGGAGCGAACAGGAUUAGAUACCCUGGUAGUCCACACCGUAAACGAUGAUUACUCGGUAUUGGCAUUUGUCAGUGCCCAAGCGAAAGUGAUAAGUAAUCCACC